rnacentral:rRNA from 1 species
GUAAUGCCGGAUGCUCCAGUUGAUCGCAUGGUGUUCUGGGAAAGCCUUUGCGGCAUGGGAUGGGGUCGCGUCCUAUCAGCUUGAUGGCGGGGUAACGGCCCACCAUGGCUUCGACGGGUAGCCGGCCUGAGAGGGCGACCGGCCACAUUGGGACUGAGAUACGGCCCAGACUCCUACGGGAGGCAGCAGUGGGGAAUAUUGCACAAUGGGCGCAAGCCUGAUGCAGCGACGCCGCGUGAGGGAUGGAGGCCUUCGGGUUGUAAACCUCUUUUGUUAGGGAGCAAGGCAUUUUGUGUUGAGUGUACCUUUCGAAUAAGCACCGGCUAACUACGUGCCAGCAGCCGCGGUAAUACGUAGGGUGCAAGCGUUAUCCGGAAUUAUUGGGCGUAAAGGGCUCGUAGGCGGUUCGUCGCGUCCGGUGUGAAAGUCCAUCGCUUAACGGUGGAUCCGCGCCGGGUACGGGCGGGCUUGAGUGCGGUAGGGGAGACUGGAAUUCCCGGUGUAACGGUGGAAUGUGUAGAUAUCGGAAAAGAAC